AAAGGUAAGCUACUAAAAGCGAAUGGUGGAUGCCUUGACUGGUAAAGGCGAUGAAGGACGUACUAGACUGCGAUAAGCUACGGGGAGCUGUCAAGAAGCUUUGAUCCGUAGAUUUCCGAAUGGGGCAACCCAAUGUAUAGAGAUAUACAUUACCUAUAUAGGAGCGAACGAGGGGAAUUGAAACAUCUUAGUACCCUCAGGAAAAGAAAUCAAUAGAGAUUGCGUCAGUAGCGGCGAGCGAAAGCGCAAGAGGGCAAACCCAGUGCUUGCACUGGGGGUUGUAGGACUGCAAUGUGCAAGAGGUGAGUUUAGCAGAACAUUCUGGAAAGUAUAGCCAUAGAGGGUGAUAGUCCCGUAUGCGAAAAACAAACCUUAGCUAGCAGUAUCCUGAGUAGGGCGGGACACGAGAAAUCCUGUCUGAAGCUGGGUCGACCACGAUCCAACCCUAAAU
rnacentral:rRNA from 1 species